GCCUAAAACCCAGCCCGACCAUCGCAACUUAUGUUAACCCAAUUCUCUAUUUUACCAAAUAAAACAUUUUCAACAUUUAGUAAAGGCGAUUAAAAAAUGUCUAGGAGCCCUACAAAUAGUACCGCAAGGGAAAUGUGAAAUAAUAAUGAAAUAACUUUAAAGCACAAAAAAGCAGAGAUUCAACCUCGUACCUUUUGCAUCAUGGUCUAGCUAGUCCAGCCAAGCAAAAAGAAAUUUAAGUUUGACCCCCCGAAACUAAGCGAGGUACUUCAAAACAGCCUUAUAGGGCCAACCCGUCUCUGUUGCAAAAGAGUGGGAAGAUUUUCAAGUAGAGGUGAUAAACCUACCGAGCUUAGAGAUAGCUGGUUAUUCAAGAAAAGGAUCUAAGUCCUACCUUAAAUCAAUACAGUAAUAAUAAAUACAUUAACAGAUUUAAGAGCUAUUCAAAUAAGGUACAGCCUAUUUGAAACAGGAUACAACCUAAACAACAGGGUAAUGAAAUCAAAUACGUAACUAAGUGGGCCUAAGAGCAGCCAUCUUUUAAAAAGCGUUAAAGCUUAAUUACUUAUUUAUAUUAAUUCCACUAACCAAUCAAAACCCUUAUCCAGUAUUGAAUGAUUCCAUAACCAUAUGGAAAACCGUAUGCUAGAACUAGUAAUAAGAAGAAGACCUUCUCCAAAAUACAAGUGUGAGCCGAAAUGAACAACUCAUCGGCACUUAACGUAAAUGAACCCAAAGUAGUAACAAAACAAGAAAAUUCUACUACACAAUACGUCAACCUUACACUAGAGUAUUACUGGAAAGAUUAAAAGAAAGGGAAGGAACUCGGCAAAUCAUCAACCCCGCCUGUUUACCAAAAACAUCGCCUCUUGACAAAAUAUAAGAGGUCCAGCCUGCCCAGUGACAAAGUUAAACGGCCGCGGUACCCUAACCGUGCGAAGGUAGCGCAAUCACUUGUUCUUUAAAUGAGGACUAGUAUGAAUGGCAUCACGAGGGUUGCACUGUCUCCCCUUUUUAAUCAAUGAAACUGACCCCCCCGUGAAGAGGCGGGGAUAUAACUAUAAGACGAGAAGACCCCAUGGAGCUUUAAACUCAGUAUCAACCGCCUAACAACACAUCAUUACAAUUUGGCAGAUCUGAUUACUAGUUUUCGGUUGGGGUGACCGCGGAGUAAAACAAAACCUCCACGAUGAAAGGACCUAUACUCCUAAUCAUAGAGCCACAGCUCAAAGAAUCAAAAAACUGACAUAAAUUGAUCCAAUUAAUUUGAUCAACGAACCAAGUUACCCUGGGGAUAACAGCGCAAUCCACUUCAAGAGCCCCUAUCGACAAGUGGGUUUACGACCUCGAUGUUGGAUCAGGGUAUCCCAGUGGUGCAGCCGCUACUAAAGGUUCGUUUGUUCAACGAUUAAAACCCUACGUGAUCUGAGUUCAGACCGGAGUAAUCCAGGUCGGUUUCUAUCUAUAAAGAGUUUCUCCUAGUACGAAAGGACCGGAGCAACAUGGCCAAUAUUACACACAAGCCAUAUCUGUACAUUAAUGAUCCCUACUUAAUUAAUAUCAGACUUCCAUAUUCCCUCAAGAUAAGAAAU
rnacentral:rRNA from 1 species